AAUCAUUCAUAGAGUGUAAAGGCAUAAGGGAGCUUGACUGCGAGACCUACAAGUCGAGCAGGGUCGAAAGACGGACUUAGUGAUCCGGUGGUUCCGCAUGGAAGGGCCAUCGCUCAACGGAUAAAAGCUACCCCGGGGAUAACAGGCUUAUCUCCCCCAAGAGUUCACAUCGACGGGGAGGUUUGGCACCUCGAUGUCGGCUCAUCGCAUCCUGGGGCUGUAGUCGGUCCCAAGGGUUGGGCUGUUCGCCCAUUAAAGCGGUACGCGAGCUGGGUUCAGAACGUCGUGAGACAGUUCGGUCCCUAUCCGUCGUGGGCGUAGGAAAUUUGAGAGGAGCUGUCCUUAGUACGAGAGGACCGGGAUGGACAUACCUCUGGUGUACCAGUUGUCGUGCCAACGGCAUAGCUGGGUAGCUAUGUGUGGACGGGAUAAGUGCUGAAAGCAUCUAAGCAUGAAGCCCCCCUCAAGAUGAGAUUUCCCAACUUCGGUUAUAAGAUCCCUCAAAGA
rnacentral:rRNA from 1 species